UAAGAUAAUUCUGCCUACUUU
rnacentral:piRNA from 1 species